GUGUCAGCCGCCGCGGUAAUACGGAGGGGGCUAGCGUUGUUCGGAAAUACUGGGCGUAAAGCGCACGUAGGCGGCUCAGCAAGUCAGAGGUGAAAUCCCAGGGCUCAACCCUGGAACUGCCUUUGAAACUGCUAGGCUAGAAUCAUGGAGAGGUCAGUGGAAUUCCGAGUGUAGAGGUGAAAUUCGUAGAUAUUCGGAAGAACACCAGUGGCGAAGGCGACUGACUGGACAUGUAUUGACGCUGAGGUGCGAAAGCGUGGGGAGCAAACAGGAUUAGAAACCCCGGUAGUCC
rnacentral:rRNA from 1 species